rnacentral:rRNA from 2 species
GGGUUGUGAGGUUAAGCGACUAAGCGUACACGGUGGAUGCCCUGGCAGUCAGAGGCGAUGAAGGGCGUGCUAAUCUGCGAUAAGCGCCGGUAAGGUGAUAUGAACCGUUAUAACCGGCGAUACCCGAAUGGGGAAACCCAGUGUGAUUCGUCACACUAUCAUUAACUGAAUCCAUAGGUUAAUGAGGCGAACCGGGGGAACUGAAACAUCUAAGUACCCCGAGGAAAAGAAAUCAACCGAGAUUCCCCCAGUAGCGGCGAGCGAACGGGGAGGAGCCCAGAGCCUGAAUCAGCAUGUGUGUUAGUGGAAGCGUCUGGAAAGGCGCGCGAUACAGGGUGACAGCCCCGUACACAAAAGCGCAUGUGCUGUGAGCUCGAUGAGUAGGGCGGGACACGUGGUAUCCUGUCUGAAUAUGGGGGGACCAUCCUCCAAGGCUAAAUACUCCUGACUGACCGAUAGUGAACCAGUACCGUGAGGGAAAGGCGAAAAGAACCCCGGCGAGGGGAGUGAAAAAGAACCUGAAACCGUGUACGUACAAGCAGUGGGAGCACCCUUCGGGGUGUGACUGCGUACC